UUGAUUGCUUGAAUCAAUCACAUUUUAUAGUAUCUAUAAACAUUGCACUAUUAGUAUUUGUAGUAAUUAUCAAAUAAUUAAUUUAGAAUGUUCUUUACCAGAAAGAUUAGCCCAGAUGUCAAUAAGAGCACUAUCUCCCUCACUAUGAGAUAUUGUCAAAGGUAGCAAUAUUUGUUUGAAUCAUGCCAUUUUGUGAGGCAUAACAAGUAAGCUAAAUUCUUGUAUUUUUUGCAAUAGAAGAGAAUAGAUAUCACGGUGCCUGAACCACGUGACUUUUUCGGCUAUGUGUGGGACAAUCGGAUGUAAACAAAACGUCGCUUCAGACUUGAAAAGGAUUAGUCGACAGAUCUGUAACGCUUUUAAGGUUCGAAGCUGUGUAAGAACUACAUGAACACCAUCAAACCACACGGAAGGUGAUAUGUGGCAAGUUAAAAAUCAAAACCACGGUGACAGAGACAGGGACCCCGCUUCAUUCUGUGAUGUUUAUGGAAAGCUAUUUCAACUAACUACGCAAACAUACCAUUUAACAUGUAUUUUUGCAUAAGCAAAACAAAGUGUGUGUAUUGAUAUGUGUGUAUAUUUAUCGGUUUUGUAUCUAUGUUAUUACUAAAAUUGAUUAGAUGAAUAUAAAAUCUGAUAAUGUGUGUUAAUAAAACAGGUGUUUCAUAACAAAUAAUUUAAAUCCAAUGAUGCGUGUUUGUGGUCUAUUCCAAUAUCAUCUCCAUUUGAACAUCUUCGAAUCCAAUAAUGCUUGUUUGUGGUCUAUUCCAAUAUAAUCUCCAUGAAUAUCUUCAGUAUAUCAAAAUAAACACGUCAUUAAUAAUACCAUUACUUUAUAACUAGCAUGCACAUGUAACAAUAGAAAUUAAAGCGCCAAAUACAUAAAGAAGUACAUUAGUAUUCACAAAGAAAUUGUAAUCAGUCAAUUUAUGAAUUUGCAAAUCUUGCUAUUCAAACAUAUGAAUGCUUCAAUUAAGUCAUAACAAAUGAUCAUCGCCAAAACGUCUUGACUUGUGGGGGUCAUUAUGCCAACAAACAUAUUGAAUUGCAUCAAUACUUAAUUUACUCAAAUUCAAAUGAAAGCUGAAUAACUGACAAUAGUUUGAGAUGUUUAAUGAAAAUACUCAUUCGCCCCGGUCAUGAAAGGGCGCUGCAAGAUCUUGUUACCACUGCACCAAGUAAUUAACAUUAAAUCAUAUAAUGUUGUUCAAUUUGUUGAAAUGUCAAAUUUUUAUGUAAUGUUUACUUUGAUUGUUUUCUUUCCCUGCAAUACUUGCACCAUCUGGUAAUAAAUCAAACAGUCAUUUAAACUUUGGAACAUUUACUAUACAUGUUUGUAUAUGACAACUUUUCAUUGAUCAAGAUAUCAGUACGUCUCUUGAA